rnacentral:SRP_RNA from 1 species
UAAGGUCCUAAAAUGGCAGAGGGCGGAAACCAAGCAGAGACAAGGGGCUG